rnacentral:lncRNA from 1 species
GUGAAACCAUAAAAAGCAUAAGCCAGCAGUCUGGUGCAAGAAUAGAACUUCAGAGAAAUCCUCCACCAAAUGCAGAUCCUAAUAUGAAGUUAUUUACAAUUCGUGGCACUCCACAACAGAUAGACUAUGCUCGGCAACUCAUAGAAGAAAAGAUUGGUGGCCCAGUAAAUCCUUUAGGGCCACCUGUACCCCAUGGGCCCCAUGGUGUCCCAGGCCCCCAUGGACCUCCUGGGCCUCCAGGGCCUGGAACUCCAAUGGGACCAUACAACCCUGCACCUUAUAAUCCUGGACCACCAGGCCCGGCUCCUCAUGGUCCUCCAGCCCCAUAUGCUCCCCAGGGAUGGGGAAAUGCAUAUCCACACUGGCAGCAGCAGGCUCCUCCUGAUCCAGCUAAGGCAGGAACGGAUCCAAAUUCAGCAGCUUGGGCUGCUUAUUACGCUCACUAUUAUCAACAGCAAGCACAGCCACCACCAGCAGCCCCUGCAGGUGCACCAACUACAACUCAAACUAAUGGACAAGGUAACUACAGAACUUAUUGUAUGUGAAAGCCAAAAGUUGUGCUUGGAAUUAUAUAUGAAGUACAUCACUGUAUAAUACCUAAAAUUUCUGACAUUAUUUAAUUAUAAUUUAAGCAGACUUUUCCUUUUUUAAAUUGUUACUUUGAAAUAGUUUCAAACUUUCAUAAAAGUUGUAAGAAGAAUACCCGGAGCACCCAGAUAGCCCAGCUGUUAAUGUUUUAUUCCCUUGUUUACUCUGUUACCAUCUAUAUCAUACAUGUGUAUCUGUAUUUAUUUUAAAUAUCCAUUAUAAUUAGUUCUGAAGGAAGCUAAUUAUAUCCAGCAUAAUUAGUUCUGAAAGAAAUCACUGAAGACUAAACUGUAGACAUGAUGUCCUGUUGGGUACUUCUUCAAAAAUACAUAACCAUCAUACAGCCCUCCAAAUCAGUAAGUCAACAUUGAUAUAUUAAGUUCUUUAUAUCAUUAUGGAUUUCUGAUUUUUGCAGUAGGUUAUAUUUUUAAAGUAUUUUUAUAAUUUUGAUAAUCAGAUUAUCCUGGAUUUGGCCAGUCAGGGAGUAUAUUCAGGGUGGUGCCUAUAUCCUUUUGAAAUACCUGUCAUUCUUUUAAGCACUUCCAUACUGUCUGGCACAGUAAGAUUGUUAUUUUGUGCUUUCUGGGCUCCAGCCCUCGAGUCAGCUAUUUCUUCAAGGAGCUCUUAUUCCUUUUAGUAGAGUAUGGUAGUUAGAAACGAGACUUGAGUAUGCUUGUUGCUACUGAGGUGUAAUUGCUUCUAGCUUCUUUCAACAGGCAGAACUAGGAAAUAUAUUUACAUACAUGCAUACCUACAUACACACACC